rnacentral:rRNA from 1 species
CAGUCGCCGCGGGAAAACGAAGGGGGCUAGCGUUGUUCGGAUUUACUGGGCGUAAAGGGCGCGUAGGCGGACUGAUAAGUCAGGGGUGAAAUCCCAAGGCUCAACCUUGGAACUGCCUUUGAUACUGUUUGUCUUGAGUUCGAGAGAGGUAAGUGGAACUGCGAGUGUAGAGGUGAAAUUCGUAGAUAUUCGCAAGAACACCAGUGGCGAAGGCGGCUUACUGGCUCGAAACUGACGCUGAGGCGCGAAAGCGUGGGGAGCAAACAGGAUUAGAUACCCGAGUAGUCCCUGUCUCUUAUAC